AGGGAUGUGGCUCAGUGGUAGAGCAUCUGCUUUGCAUGCGGAAGGUCCCAGGUUCAGUCCCCGGCAUCUCCA